GACGAACGCUGGCGGCGUGCUUAACACAUGCAAGUCGAACGGAAAGGCCCUGCUUUUGUGGGGUGCUCGAGUGGCGAACGGGUGAGUAACACGUGAGUAACCUGCCCUUGACUUUGGGAUAACUUCAGGAAACUGGGGCUAAUACCGGAUAGGAGCUCCUGCUGCAUGGUGGGGGUUGGAAAGUUUCGGCGGUUGGGGAUGGACUCGCGGCUUAUCAGCUUGGUGGUGGGGUAGUGGCUUACCAAGGCUUUGACGGGUAGCCGGCCUGGGAGGGUGACCGGCCACAAUGGGACUGAGAUACGGCCCAGACUCCUACGGGAGGCAGCAGUGGGGAAUAUUGCACAAUGGGCGGAAGCCUGAUGCAGCAACGUCGCGUGCGGAAUGACGGCCUUCGGGUUGUAAACCGCUUUCGCCUGUAACGAAGCGUGAGUGACGGUAAUGGGUAAAAAAGCACCGGCUAACUACGUG
rnacentral:rRNA from 1 species